AUACGGAGGAUCCGAGCGUUAUCCGGAUUUAUUGGGUUUAAAGGGUGCGCAGGCGGGAGAUUAAGUCGGCGGUGAAAUUUUGCAGCUCAACUGUAAAAGUGCCUUCGAAACUGGUUUCCUUGAGUGUAGAUGAAGUAGGCGGAAUUUGUGGGGUAGCGGUGAAAUGCAUAGAUAUCACGAGGAACUCCGAUUGCGCAGGCAGCUUACUAAACUACUACUGACGCUCAGGCACGAAGGCGUGGGGAUCAAACAGGAUUAGAUACCCUGGUAGUCCACGCAGUAAACGAUGAUCACUAGCUGUUUGCGAUACAAUGUAAGCGGCUGAGCGAAAGCGUUAAGUAAUCCACCUGGGGAGUACGUUCGCAAGAAUGAAACUUAAAGGAAUUGACGGGG
rnacentral:rRNA from 1 species